rnacentral:lncRNA from 1 species
UCUCCAGGGAGGAGGCACCCCCUACCCGGGCCAUUUCUACCAAGGCCCUGAGGCACGUGGGCACAACCUGCAGGGGAAGUGGGGACAGGAGUCAGGGAAAACACCCAGCCACUGUCCACCAAGGUAGGAGUCAGGGCUUGGAGGACUACAACUCCCUGCAGCCCCUGCUGUAACCUAGGAUGAACCAUAGGCCUAGGGCUGCUGGGAGUUGUAGUUUUACACACACACACACACACACACACACACACACACACACACACACCCCCUGCUGUAACUGAACCAUAGGCCUAGGGCUGCUGGGAGUUGUAGUUUUACACACACACACAAACACACACACACACACACGUCAGGGCUGAGCAGUCUGUGAUCUUGACUCCUGGGAGCCACAGCCAUGGCCUCACAAUGGCAGCUAAAACUUGAGUCCACCAGCUUCUACAUGGUUUAGAGCAGGGGUCCCCAACCCCCCUACGGCUUGUUAGGGACCAGGUUGCACAGCAGGAUGUGAGCAGCGGGUGGGGGAAUAUUACUGCCUGAGCUCUGCCUUCUGUGAGAUCAGCGGCAGCAUUAGAUUCUCAGAGGAGCACAAACUCUAUCGAACUGCGCACGUGAGGGAUCGGCUGCUCCUUAAGAGAAUCUAAUGCCUGAUGAUCUGCAGUGGAGCAGUUUCAUCCCGAAACCACACCUCCCUGUCCGUGGAAAUAUUAUCUUCCAUGAGACUGGUCCCUGGUGCCAAAUAGUUUGGGGGCCACUGGUUUAGAGAGUUCAAAACAGGUUCUGCAGGUGAGGCCAUGGGAAGGAGCUCCCGGGGAUGAAAAACUGGUUAUUGCAGAGAUCUUGGAAGUUGCAGUUUUUUAGAGGGCCCUCUGGGAGUUGGAGUUCCUGGGAGCAACCUCUUCCCUCUGUAAGGCCACCCCUUUCAGCCCCAGGGACUCAGGUCUGCAGGCACCUUGACCAUCACGAGCCUCUUGGUCCACGGCUGGUCCUGGGGCCAUGACUCCCCCACACAGAACCAGAGGGCAUAGCGUGGUGAGCGUCCGCUUCCUUCCGUGAAGGUAAUCAGAUCUGGGGGCCCAGGAGCCUAGUCAGGGAUGAGAAGAGGACCCUCUACCCACCCUUCCCCGUAAACUUGAAUGAUAACCCCCACCACCUCCCCUGACCUAAGGCCCUCUGCUGCCUCGACCAGGGGACUGCUUGUUUGGGGAAAGUCCCCUCCUUCCCUCCCUCCCUCCCUCCCAUCAGGGUGGGGUUGUUGGAAGGCCACACCCCCAAGCCCCCAAGCCUCAGCAUUCAUAACAGGCCCAGAGUAGGGGGCCCAUGCUCCCAAGGAUGCUCAGUGAAUCUGGAGAAGCUGGUUGGCAUUCAGUCCUGUCUGAGGCUGCAUUGUCCAAUUGCAGCCAUUAGUCAUGUAAGGUUAUUUCAGUUUAAAUUGUAACCAAUUAAAACGAAUCACGUCCUGGUUGCACUCGCCUCACCUGAGUGCUUGGCCCCUGUGGCUAGUGGCUGCUGCACCGGACAGUGCAGGUGACUGUCAUUUCCAUCAUGGCAGAAAGUGCCACUGCACAGCGAAACCCUAAGGGAUGUAGCUUUCCUGCUAUUGGUCUGUUCACCAUCAUUAGUUACGAUGAUGAUGACAGUGGCAGCUAAUUCCCUGAGCAGGCUCUGUGUACUGGGCCUGUGUCUCACCCCAGCGCUGGCAGGCAGGUAGAGAGAGGAGACCAUCCUUGGAUUCCACGGGCUCAGGGCAAAGUCCUUUGCCUCGGUUAUACAGCGGGCCAAGGGCAGCCAGCGUCUGAAUUCAGUCCUAAUCAUGAGUUCUUUUUUUUUUGUUGUUCGAGAUGGAGUCUUACUCUGUCACCAGGCUAGAGUGCAGUGGUGCGAUCUCAGCUCACUGCAAUCUCCGCCUCCUGGGUUCAAGCAAUUCUCCUGCCUCAGCCUCCCGAGUAGCUGGGAUUACAGGCACGUGCCACCACGCCCGACUAUUUUUUUGUAUCUUUAGUAGAGAUGGGGUUUCACUAUGUUGACCAGGCUGGUCUCGAACUCCUGAACUUGUCAUCUGCCCACCUCAGCCUCCCAAAGUGCUGGGACUACAGGCGUGAGCCACCGUGCCCGGCCAAUCCUGAGUUGUUAACCACUGUGCAGGCUGCUUUGUACUGGCCAGGUCGAAGCCCCUGUCUCACUCACCUACAAUGAAGGGCCCCAGGUCAAACACGCCUCCUUCCUUGUCCUUGGGGACCUCGCCAUCAGGCCCAUGCCCGCUGUUGGGGAGCAGCUCCUCGCUCACUGCCCAGUAUGUGUGGCAGCGUCCUGUCUCCCACUUCGGACCCCACCAGCCGCAGGCCCUCCGGGCAGGAGAUGGUCUGCUGGAAGACUUGGCGGCCCCGGUAGAAGGCUGUCACCUCGAACUCCCACUCUGAGCAGCGGCAGCAGCGGCAUGAAGGGGAGAGGGGUUGAGAAUCAGGGGCUGCCGCCCAGACCUCAGCCCUCCCAGCCUGCAGCUGACACUCACCUUCCCCCGGCACCAACAGCCGCUUCAGUGGGUUCUCAGAGGGCC